CCUGAACGCUGGCGGCGUGGCUAAGACAUGCAAGUCGCACGGUGUAGCAAUACACAGUGGCGAACGGGAGAGUAAUGAAUCGGUAACGUACCCCGGACUCUGGGAUAGCUAUCCGAAAGGGUAGGUAAUACCAGUAUAAUAUAACCUGCAGGCAUCUGCGGGUUCUCAAAGGUCCGCCGGUCUGGGAGCGGCCGAUUUCGUAUCAGCUAGUUGGUGAGGUAACGGCUCACCAAGGCGACGACGCGUAGCCGGACUGAGAGGUUGGCCGGCCUCAUUGGGACUGAGACACUGCCCAGACUCCGUACGGGGGCUGCAGUAACGAAUCUUCCGCAAUGCACGAAAGUGUGACGGAGCGACGCCGCGUGUGGGACGAAGUCCU
rnacentral:rRNA from 1 species